GUGUCAGCAGCCGCGGUAAUACGGAGGAUCCAAGCGUUGUCCGGAUUUAUUGGGUUUAAAGGGUGCGUAGGCGGAUCUUUAAGUCAGUGGUGAAAGCCUGCAGCUUAACUGUAGAACAGCCAUUGAAACUGAAGAUCUUGAAUGUGGUUAAAGUAGGCGGAAUGUAUCAUGUAGCGGUGAAAUGCUUAGAUAUGAUACAGAACACCGAUAGCGAAGGCAGCUUGCUGAACCAUUAUUGACGCUGAGGCACGAAAGCGUGGGGAGCGAACAGGAUUAGAUACCCUGGUAGUCCACGCCCUAAACGUUGAUUACUCGUUGUUGGCGAUAUACUGUCAGCGACCAAGCUAAAGCGUUAAGUAAUCCACCUGGGAAGUACGACCGCAAGGUUGAA
rnacentral:rRNA from 1 species